UUGUCAUGUUCAUGUCAUGACCUGGUCCUA
rnacentral:piRNA from 1 species